GGUGGUUUGUCUUGGUCUGUCAUCACAUCAACACAGUCAGUGGACUCUGGUGAUGCUUGGGAGCAGCUGGUGAGGAGCUGAUGGGGCUGGUGUGUGAGUCACUGCAUGGAUGUGCAAUGAUCUUGCCUUGAGCUUCCAGUCAACAAUGUGAUAGGGAUGCAGAAAAACAGGCAGUGAGGCAGAGGAUGACACUGCAGUAAGAAAGCACAGGAGAAGGAAUUAAAACAAGGGCUGGAGAAAUUUGGCAACCAGAAGAUUCAUGGUAAAAUUGCUUGUUGACUGUCUUGAUCAGUGCCCCAAAAGAGACAGAAACAGGACAGAUCAGCAGAGCUGUGAUAGGCCAUGACAGCAACAAGCUGAAUACUGGUUUUGGAGGAAGGAGAAAUGAAUCUGUCCAUUAUGUAUAUGAUGGGAAGCAGUGAUACAGUGAGCAACAGAUACACUGGUUGUGAUCAAGGGUUUGUAGUUUCAAGAGAAUGACUUUCAACUUGGUUUCAUAGAAGUGGGCUGGUGUAGAUAGGGCUACAGCUUUAAGGGAGGGUGGGGAAGCUGUUCAGAGGUGAUCCUCAUGGGCAGAGCAAUGAGCUUGGAAUGAAGUCAGCUGUUGAGCAAAGCAGUUGGCCAUUGAAUCAUCCAUAACACCUGGUGCAAAGGAACCAGCAGUUUCAUGCAGAAGCUACUGAAGGGGAUGUCUUCAUUUUCCUCCAUGCAGGUUCUCUGCUGAGCUGAUUGGUAAAAUCAGGGUUUGACAGACAGACAGUUAUGCUUUUUGAUGCUGGAGCAUGAGGAACAGCUUUCCUGACACCUGCAGAGGGAAUCAUGUAGAAGAAGAGCACAUAUUUCACAGCUGGAUGUUGGCCAAAGUACCAAGCAUUGCUGUUACAAGAUUUCAGCCUCUGCAGACCUGCCUACAGUCAGAAACGCAACAGACCAAUCUGCAGUGUGACUCCCGUGUGAAGACCUGGGAUUGUCAAGUGUGGAGACAACAGAAGUGGCUGGCUCCUGGGACAGUCCUUCAGCCAUGGUCCUUCAGAGAGAGGAGGGAGGCAGGCAGCCAGACCUGCUCAUUCAGCUGUGAGGGAGCUAAAGGUUGGAGACACUUACGACCAAUGGAUCUGUGAAGACAGACACAUAAGUGCAAAUAUCCCCUGUCCUACUACUGCAAAGGGCAAUAAAAGCUGCUAUCCACCC
rnacentral:lncRNA from 14 species